GGGGAUUUAGCUCAGUGGUAGAGCGCUUGCCUAGUAAGCGCAAGGCCCUGGGUUCAGUCCUCA
rfam:Rattus norvegicus chromosome 4, whole genome shotgun sequence.